GGGCUUCCCGAGGCGCGUGCGCCUCCCUAUAUUCGAGGUGUUCCGGGAAACCGGGGCUAUGGCGAUAAACGCGCGCGGAAUAAGCGGUUCGGACCCGGGGGCGGUACCCGGCGGCUCCACCAAACAUCCCCGGUCAUGGGCGGGGCGGAGGGGGCCGAAACAGGAUCGACGGACGUGUAAAGGCGUGGCUUUCGCUCGGUGAGGCACCACCGUUAUCGGUCCGAAAAGUACAGUUGCCAAUGACAACCGUGCUCCGGUGGCCGUCGCCGCGUAAUGCGGCUCCGACACCGAAACUCAAGUCCUGAGGCUUAGCCGCUUCAGGCGGGGCCGCCGGCGCCUGGCAACAGAAGCCGGCACU
rnacentral:tmRNA from 1 species